GAUGAACGCUGGCGGCGUGCCUAAUACAUGCAAGUCGAGCGACCGAAGGAGAACUUUCCCCCCCUGCGGUUACCGCCGGCCGGGUGAUUACCACUUGGAUAACCACCUAUAAAGCCUGGGUUACCUUCGGGAACCCGGACUUAAUACCGGAAAAUUAUUUAAACGGCUGGGUCAAUAGUUAAAGGCGGGUUUUCUUUUACUUAUAAGAUGAUCCGCGCCGCAUUAGCUAGUUGGUAAGGUAACGGCUUACCAAGGCAACGAUGCGUAGCCGACCUGAGAGGGUGAUCGGCCACACUGGAACUGAGACACGGUCCAGACUCCUACGGGAGGCAGCAGUAGGGAAUCUUCCGCAAUGGGCGAAAGCCUGACGGAGCAACGCCGCGUGAGUGAUGAAGGGCUUCGGAUCGUAAAACUCUGUUAUUAGGGAAGAACAAAUGUGUAAGUAACUAUGCACGUCUUGACGGUACCUAAUCAGAAAGCCACGGCUAACUACGUGC
rnacentral:rRNA from 1 species